rnacentral:rRNA from 1 species
UACGUAGGGGGCAAGCGUUGUCCGGAAUCAUUGGGCGUAAAGAGCGUGUAGGCGGCCAGAUAAGUCCGCUGUGAAAUCUCGAGGCUCAACUUCGAGCUGUCGGUGGAAACUGUCUGGCUAGAGUCCGGUAGGGGAGCGUGGAAUUCCUGGUGUAGCGGUGAAAUGCGCAGAUAUCGGGAGGAACACCAGUGGCGAAGGCGGUACUCUGGGCCGGAACUGACGCUGAGGAGCGAAAGCGUGGGUAGCGAACAGG